AUUGAACGCUGGCGGCAUGCUUUACACAUGCAAGUCGAACGGUAACAGGCCGCAAGGUGCUGACGAGUGGCGGACGGGGGAGUAAUGCAUCGGAACGUGCCCAGUCGUGGGGGAUAACUACUCGCAAGAGUAGCUAAUACCGCAUACGAUCUAUGGAUGAAAGCGGGGGACCGUAAGGCCUCGCGCGAUUGGAGCUGCCGAUGUCAGAUUAGGUAGUUGGUGGGGUAAAGGCUCACCAAGCCAACGAUCUGUAGCUGGUCUGAGAGGACGACCAGCCACACUGGGACUGAGACACGGCCCAGACUCCUACGGGAGGCAGCAGUGGGGAAUUUUGGACAAUGGGCGCAAGCCUGAUCCAGCAAUGCCGCGUGCAGGAAGAAGGCCUUCGGGUUGUAAAAUGCUUUUGUACGGAACGAAACGGCUCUGGUUAAUACCCGGGGCUAAUGACGGUACCGUAAGAAUAAGCACCGGCUAACUACGUG
rnacentral:rRNA from 1 species